CCUACGGGGGGCAGCAGUGAGGAAUAUUGGUCAAUGGGCGCAAGCCUGAACCAGCCAUGCCGCGUGAAGGAUGAAGGUCUAUGGAUUGUAAACUUCUUUUAUUAGGGAAUAGGUACCUAAUGAAUAAGCACCGGCUAACUCCGUGCCAGCAGCCGCGGUAAUACGGAGGGUGCAAGCGUUAUCCGGAAUCAUUGGGUUUAAAGGGUCCGCAGGCGGUCUUAUAAGUCAGUGGUGAAAUCUCUCAGCUUAACUGAGAAACUGCCAUUGAUACUGUAGGACUUGAAUUUGGUCGAAGUGGGCGGAAUAUGACAUGUAGCGGUGAAAUGCAUAGAUAUGUCAUAGAACACCGAUAGCGAAGGCAGCUCACUAGGCAAAUUGACGCUCAUGGACGAAAGCGUGGGGAGCAAACAGGAUUAGAUACCCUAGUAGUC
rnacentral:rRNA from 1 species